ensembl:lncRNA
GAAUACCCUCACCGACACACCUAGAAUAAAGUGUGACCAAAAGUACAGACAGUCCAGGGCCUGGUUAAGCUGACACAGAAGAUUAACCAUCACAAUAUCAUGUCAUAAUAAUAAUAAUAAUACAAUCAGGAUUCUGAACAGUUGCUCAAGGCUGGGACUGAUCUAGGAGGCAGUGUGCGGCCCUAAAAAGAAAAUUUUUAAAAGUUUAAAAAUUCAGAUUCCUAGAUCUCACCCUCAGAGAUUUGUUUCAGUAGGUCGCAGCUGUGGCCCAGGAAUCUGCAUGCUUUCCCAGCACCCCAUGAUUCCUAGGAGAGACAUUGCUUUGGGCCUUAUCAGACAUGGGAAACACUGACCAACAUUCCUCUUCAUGGAGCAACAUUCUACAGAGUCCAGAAGAGUGUUCAAUUCUCCCAUGUCCUCAUAUAUGCUCCGCAAAAGAAGUCGGACACAAAAGUAAAUCCUGUAGGAUUCCAUUUAUACAAAAUUCUAAAACAGGCAAAAUUCAUCCGUAGUGAUAGAAAUCAGUGGCUUUCUGGGAAUAGGCACAGAGGUAACUUUCUGGGGAGAUGAAAAUGUUCUAUAACUUAAUUGGUGGUGGUUACUGAUCACAAGCUAUUGAUGUGUACAUUUAAAAUAUGUGAAUUUUACUGUAGGUAAAUUAUAUUUCAAUGAAGUCAUUUUGAAACGCUAUCCUGUGUUGUCUCGGGAAAAUGCUAUUUCAGAUAUUUAAACAUCGUGUUGACAUGGUGUCACAUAUGAUUCCAUCUGUGAGAGCACAUGUAUGACUCACUGUUUCCUUCAGGCAUUAGGUACCUGUGUCAGCAACAAGUCAGUAUCCUGUCUAUCGCUUUAUGUAGUAAGGCAGGCUCAGGCCCUUGGGCAGAGUUCUGGGAGGAAAACUGCAGUGAACAGUCCCACCUUCAGGAAAGUGCAUUUUUAGGAAAUUCUUGCAUGCUCGAUCUCCCUGCCCCGUACUUGACUCUUCUGCAGGGAGGGAUGGACACACACACAUACUUUCUCAUUGAAAAGGAAAUGUGCUGUGAACUAAACACAUGCCCCGCAGGCUCUGUGACCCCGAGAUCCCUCAGAAAGAGCCAGCAGGUCACCCUCACCAAGGGGCCAGCAGGUCAUAUCUCAAGGGGCUGACCCUCACACGUGUCAAUAUCACCACAGCCCCCUAGAGUCCCCAGAGGUCAAAAGGAAACUCUACAGGGACCCAAAGCAUGGCUUUGAAAUCAGAAGCGCUCUGAGGGCGUGUGAUCUUAGAAUAAAGGGGGCCUGUGUAUCCCAAAAGGCCUCCAUCAGAAAGCUCUCUAGACUGGUAGGUCCUGGGUUCUAGCCCCUGCUCUGUCCACUGACUCACAGGGUCACCUCGGGCAACCAGAACCCCUCUCAGGGCCUCAGUUUACUCAUCUUUAAAAUGUUGGAUAGGUUGACUGAUAAGCAAUUAUUAUUAUUUGGCUUAAGAUCCCAUUCUUCAAAUGAAAUCCCUUUAAGGAAAAACAGAGGGUAUCUAUGAUUGAAAUGGGGUUCAGGAGCUCAUGCCCCUUGUUGGAGGACCCCCAAGGCUCUUGAGAACAGUUUGAAAACUGCUAGGUCAGCUGAGUUCCCAAUCCAUGCAGCUGAACUGACUUCACGGAAACUCCCCCAAGUCCAAUCACCCAACUCCAGCCAGGACCUCAGAGUGACUGUAUCAACCUGAGACCUCAGAAAACCUGUCUCAGGGAACCCCACACUCCAAAUGACCCGAGUCCAGCCACUAUGACCUCAGAAUGACUACAAGGGCCUGUGACCACACAUCAUCAGACUCAGGGAAACCCAAUGUGAAGCAAUUCUAAUCACACUGAGUAGAAUGUGAUUCUCCUAUUGUUCAGACUGUGCCAUCCCUCGCUGCUUAAGUUGUCAAUUCUCCUCCCACCACCACCCAUCCCCAAACUGCCCUCCCUGUGAGUUCAGAACCAACUCCAAAUUUAAAUGUUACAUCUAGGGUAGUCAGGUCCACAUCUAACCUAAGAUAACCACCAUGGCUCCUUUUCCUCUAAGACCCUGACACACAGGAAAAGCCUUUGUCAACUCCAGAGCACUGACUAAAAUCAUGUGCCAGGGACUGUGCUAUGCCCCCUCCCCCUUUGUUUUCUUUUUAGGGCCACACCUGCAGUGUAUAUGGAAGUUCCAAGGCUAGGGGUUGAAUCUGAGCUAUAGCUGCCAGCCUACACUACAGCCACAGCAACAUGGGAUCCAAGCCACAUCUACCACCUACACCACAGCUCACGGCAAUGCCAGAUCCUUAACCCACUGGGCAGGGCCAGGGAUGGAACCCACAUCUUCAUGGAUACUAGUUGGGUUCAUAACCUGCUGAGCCACAGUGGGAACUCCCCGUGCUAUGCACUUUACACGGAUCACACCCAACCCUUGUCACCCUGGGAGGUGGGCAUUUACCCCUUUACAUAGCUGAGCAAAACUGAGACUCACGGUCACCCACAGGUGGAGCCAGCACCCACAGAUGCUCUGCAGACACUAAGA